CAAAAUUUGUCCAUUCUCUACUUACAAUGUUUAAGUUGUUUCCAGUUCUUGGAGCAGGAAUAGCCUUCUAUAAACAUUCACACACAAGACUGUGUUUUCAUUCUUCUCGAGUAGAUAUAGUUAAGAGUGGGAUUGCUGGGGUUGUAUAGUAAAUGUAUUGUUCACUUUAUAAGAAACAGCCGCAUUAAAAAUUUUUUAUUUCAAUAGUUUUUAGGGUCCAGGUGGUUUCUGGUUACAUGGAUACAUUCUUUAGUGGUGAUUUCUGAAACUUUAACGCACCCAUCACCCAAGCAGUGUACAGUGUACCCAAUAUACAGUCUUUUAUACCUAAUUUUCCUCCUGAACUUCCCUGAUAAGUCCCCAAAGUCCAUUACAUCAUUCUUAUGCCUUUGCAUCCUCAUAGAUUAGCUGCCACUUAUAAGUGAGAACAUAUAUUUGGUUUUUCAUUCCUG
rnacentral:lncRNA from 10 species